GAUGUAGGUCAGUGGUAGAGUAUGUGCUUAGCAUACACUGGGUCCUGGGUUCAAUUCCCAGCAUC
rnacentral:tRNA from 1 species